GUGGUAGUUCAGUUGGUUAGAAUACCGGCCUGUCACGCCGGGGGUCGCGGGGCGCCCUGCCGUGCA
rnacentral:tRNA from 1 species